rnacentral:misc_RNA from 1 species
GAUGAAGAACGUAGCGAAAUGCGAUAAGUAGUGUGAAUUGCAGAAUUCAGUGAAUCAUCGAAUCUUUGAACGCACAUUGCGCCCCUUGGUAUUCCAUGGGGCAUGCCUGUUCGAGCGUCAUUUGUACCUUCAAGCUCUGCUUGGUGUUGGGUGUUUGUCUCGCCUCUGCGUGUAGACUCGCCUCAAAACAAUUGGCAGCCGGCGUAUUGAUUUCGGAGCGCAGUACAUCUCGCGCUUUGCACUCAUAACGACGACGUCCAAAAGUACAUUUCUACACUCUUGACCUCGGAUCAGGUAGGGAUACCCGCUGAACUUAAGCAUAUCAAUAAGCGGAGA